UACGAAGGGGGCUAGCGUUGCUCGGAAUCACUGGGCGUAAAGGGUGCGUAGGCGGGUCUUUAAGUCAGGGGUGAAAUCCUGGAGCUCAACUCCAGAACUGCCUUUGAUACUGAGGAUCUUGAGUUCGGGAGAGGUGAGUGGAACUGCGAGUGUAGAGGUGAAAUUCGUAGAUAUUCGCAAGAACACCAGUGGCGAAGGCGGCUCACUGGCCCGAUACUGACGCUGAGGCACGAAGGCGUGGGGAGCGAACGGGG
rnacentral:rRNA from 1 species